ACCACAUGUAUUGACCAAAAUUUUUUAAGGGGCAGUGGCCGUCCUGCAAUAAUAUUGAACGUGAAAAACAACGGGCAAGUUGCUUGAUGCCUUUGACAAGAACUUCUAUACAGUUCAUAGAGGGCAUGAUUUUUAUUGUUCUUUUCAAGCUAAAGGUUGCAAAAGGAAGGAUGAAUUCUGAUCAAUUGUCUCCUAAACCAGACUUUUCAAGAUCCAAGCG
rnacentral:lncRNA from 1 species